UCCUUCGACGAGUCGAGUUGUUUGGGAAUGCAGCUCUAAAUGGGAGGUAAAUUUCUUCUAAAGCUAAAUACCGGCCAGAGACCGAUAGCGCACAAGUAGAGUGAUCGAAAGAUGAAAAGCACUUUGGAAAGAGAGUUAAAAAGUACGUGAAAUUGUUGAAAGGGAAGCGCUUGCAACCAGACUUGCUCGCAGUUGCUCAACCCGCCUCCUGGUGGGUGUACUCUUCUGCGGUCAGGCCAGCAUCAGUUCGAGCGGUCGGAUAAAGGCGCCGGGAAUGUAGCUCCUCUCGGGGAGUGUUAUAGCCCGGCGUGGAAUGCGACCUGCUCGGACUGAGGAUCUCGCUUCGGCUAGGAUGCUGGCGUAAUGGUUGUAAGCGGCCCGUCUUGAAACACGGACCAAGGAGUCUAACAUCUAUGCGAGUGUUUGGGUGUCAAACCCAUGCGCGUAAUGAAAGUGAACGGAGGUGGGAACCCGCAAGGGCGCACCAUCGACCGAUCCUGAUGUCUUCGGAUGGAUUUGAGUAUGAGCAUAGCUGUUGGGACCCGAAAGAUGGUGAACUAUGCCUGAAUAGGGUGAAGUCAGAGGAAACUCUGAUGGAGGCUCGCAGCGGUUCUGACGUGCAAAUCGAUCGUCAAAUUUGGGUAUA
rnacentral:rRNA from 1 species